rnacentral:miRNA from 1 species
GAUGUGGCUCUUUGACGGAUAG